UUUCGACUCCACCUGUCUUUUACUCAAGUAGGGUGAGACAGAGGUAUCAAAUUUUGCCUCAUUCUCCCUGCUCUGAUCAUGUCCAAACCAGAGUAUCUCUCUCCUCCUUAAUAUAGAGAUGUUAAAUACAUCUUUGAUCUCUCCCUCAAGGAGCUCACUCUAUAUAGUUCAAUCUGCUGUAUGACAGGUUCCAUGCUUGGCUCGAAUGAUAAACAGAUGAUUAUGCCACGGUCUGCAUAAUCAGACAAAUAAGUCGAAAUCACAGCAUAAAAUUGUAUAAUAUGGGCAGAAACUGAGUUAAUCUCAAAGAGCACAGAGAAGGGUGCCUAAAUCAGAAGGGGACUGGGAGGUUUCCUGCAAAUGGUAAUUCUGAUCCUAAAUCUUGAAGGGGGCCGGAGAGAAGAAGAAGAAGUUGGGUCAAAGGGGAUUACAAACAGAGGAACAGAAAGUGCAUGAAAUAACAGGAGAGGGAGAGGACAAGUUCAGAUUGAGCAGAAUGAAGGGGAUUGUGAAACAUUUGGCCUAGAGAGGCAGACAGGGAUGUGCUCAUGAGAGGACCUAAACUUGAUCCUGAAAACCAGAGACCCAUGGUAUUAUUUUAAGCAGAUGUGUGACAGCAUAAGAUUCAGAAAGAUCAUUGCUGGGGUAAACAAGUCAGUGCUUAGAAGUCUUGUUAUUUUUGAAGGUGAACUAAAAAGGACUCCAAAGAAUGUGCUAGGGAACAUAAGGAAGAAGGAAACUAUUUACUUCCCUUAUCUCCAGUGUUUGUGUAGGUACCAAAGCAGAACAAACUCAGUUCUGAAGUAAAGUCAUGUGCUCAUCAAACAUUUGAAGAAACCUUUAUGUGUAGUUGAUGUGCAAUCUGUCCUGUGUCUUGUUCCCCUUUGCCUGUAGGCAUGGUGUACCCCCAGUUUAUUCCAGACUGUGGCACCAAGGGUUACCUGAAUAGUAAAAUGUCCAAACAUUCUCUGCUGAGUCCUCCAAGUUCUUUUUGGGGGAUUGGAAUAUAUUCUACUGGGGCCUUUACAGCCCUGGGGUUAAGCCAUCACUCUGGCAGUAGUGUGAAGGACAAUAAGGGGAAGCUAGGAGAUUAGUUAGGAGGCCCAUUACAUACAUCUAAGGGAGAAGAGAUGGGAUUCUAGAUUGAGGCACUGUUGUGGGGGAAGAGAAGAGGAAAGAUGACUUGGAGGCUGCUUCCAAGACUUGGUGACUGACUGGGUAUAGGUGUGCGGGAGAGGGAAGGUCAUCUGCUGAGAUUUAGAGAAGAAGUGUAGGGAAGAAUGCAGUAGAUGAGCAGUGGAUUGAGAAUCAAGCAUUAAAGGAGUGGAGAAAAGGAACUGACCAGAGACUAUAGGACAGUUGAUAUACUCCUGCCCCUGGACCUGUCAUCCUCCUGCUCCCUCAGAUGUAUCCUUAUCCUCAGGACUCAUGGGACAAUCCUGAUGCUACUCAGUUGCAACCCAGAAAUCAAAUGGUGUCUCUCAUAAUAGAGUAAACUUCUCUUUUUCUAAGGCCAUUGCCCAAGUUCAGCCCUUAGGAUCUGCAGCCUGGAUUACCUGUCCUCCCGCUGAGCUAAAAUGUUACUUCCUCUGUACUCCCCAGAUAUCAUUUAUUACAUAUUUUAUAGUACUUGUUACUUCCUAAUACUUCUUAUAAUUAUCUACCUGCCAGUGUGACUGUUACUGAUUUUUAAAAUCCUAUUAUUAAAAUAUUAACAUAUUAAAUGUUCCUUAUUAUAAAUUCCAUAUAGCAAGUAGAUUGUCAUAGAAUCCUUCUUAACAAUUUUGCUGAACUUUUGCAUAGAUAGCAAUAAAAGGUUAUAAUGAAUGAGUAUAAUUCUGUGAAUGUUGCUUGAUAUUUUUAACGAAUAAGAUGAAAGUGAAACAACUAACACAUUUAUUAAAACUUUAUUCCUUUGAUAAUAAUGUGAUUAACAUAUUUGCUAGAUUGAACUCUAGCUUUUUAAUAUCAGAGGAACAUUUACUCAUUUUUGUGCUAUUCACAAUGUAACAGCUACCGAUAUAAUACACUUAUAAAUUUAAUUCAUACUAUUAACAUUUUCUGCAUCACUUUUUAUUUAUUUAAAGUGUAGACGACCAACAAAACAACUAAUCAAGCUCUGAUUUGUAGUGUUGGCUGAUAUUUUCAUGGUAUAAAUAUUACCAAGAUCUUCCUCAAAGUACCAACAUAAUGUCUCUGUAUAUUGGAAGUAGGAAGGUAUGGGCAUAACACAACAAUACAAAUUUCCAUCAUACAGCUAUCAUGGGCACAAAUAAUCUCAAGAGCAUAGAUAAUAAGAUGUAGUAAUGUAACAGUGGUCCACUUCACCUUUUAAAUAUAGCUCUUGCUGCUUAUUUUUCAAGGGACAUGUUUUUCUUUUCCUCUUCUCCCUGACCCCUUCCUUAACUUAGAACAGAGAACAAGAUUACCUUGUGUUAUCUGUGCUCCACAGGAAGGAGAUGUCUGCCAAAGAAUCUAGGAAGUAAGUAUGUCCCAAAUUAACAAGUGAAUCCUAACACACCAUCAAGGUACCCUGGGUCCCCCUACCAGAGCACACCUGGUAGAGUUUCUUUAAAAGCCCCCUGUUCCUCCUGAUGGGCAGAAUCACAGCCUCAGGGACAGGAGUCCCCUGUAUUUCUCCUUUGCUAGUAAAGAAAUAAAACUUCUUUUUCCUUUUUCUCUAAACCAUGUCCUCUUUAUUAAAUUGACAUGAACUGGCAUUGGGGACAAGGACUGAGAUUUUGAUUACAAAUUUGGCAACCCAGGUGGGACCAGAGAACAGUUCUUGCUCUGGCUUUCUUGGGCAGACCUGGCACUCCAAGCAACUGUACUUCUAUGCUGAGGAUGAACGGUGAACUUUUUGAGAGUUCACUGCUGGAAAGUCAGGAGAUGGAUUGCUCCAUCUUGGUCUACUUUGAGAAAAGGAAACUGAGCCUAGUGACGUUGCAACACAUUGGCCAUCCGAUAAGCUCCCCUGGUGUGCACAAGGAGACCCUUGAUUCCACACGUCUGGUUCCACUUUGAGGGAACAUCUGGUCCCUCUUCAUAGGAACAUCUAUCUGUAGCACUGCUGGUGUAGAAGUCAUGGUUCAGUAGGAGUUGGGAACUUGGGGGGAUUUUUUCCCCCUAUCUGUUCUGUUUUAAAGGUUCCUGGCAGCCAUGGUUUGGGAAUCGUCUCUGUUUGUCUGUCUCUGUUUUUUGUUUGUAUCUGUUUCUGACCCUUGAAGUCUUGGGCAAUACUGGGUUGAUCCUAUAGAUUGUUUCUUGGGAAAGAUCUUGGCCAAAUGGGCCACCUAUAGAUAUAAACCUGUCUAAAAAAAAGAUGAUGGAAUGGUUUUCUGAAUUAUUGUACGAUUUUGUGGUUGUGAGUUGGCCUGUCAGAGACAGAAUAAGUGAAAGAUUCUGUGAGUACAUAAUAAGGAGUCUAAACAGUCAAAAACUAAGUUGAAUACAAAGAGGUGCUGCCUCUAAUGUGUGAGUACAACAGGACACCAAAAGAGGAUUUAGUUUUUUUUUUAAUCUCUUUAACCCAGUGCUGACAGUCUGAGCACCUAUAAGAACAUCAGCCACAGGAAUGCUUAGCAAUGUCUGGUCGCAAUUGAUAAGGACCAUCAUCUAAAGACAGAGCAAUGCUUGGGGGUGAUGCCAAUGAGCAUAAAUUCAGAACUAUAUUUAAACUGCUUGUCCUGCCACAUCGGAGAUCUUCACUCUGAAGACAUCAAUGAGACUGACUGCCUUACUGUCCAUCCCUGGAUCCACUCCACCAUUCUCUGACAUCCACCCAUCGGCUGGAGUAAACCAUCAGACAACAUCAAUGUCCGCUUCUAAGAGAAGUCAUGUGGCAUCAGAGGUACUUUGGGGCUCAUGGUUGUCCUGGGAUUGUAUGAUGUGUUUGCUGUGUUUAAUUAAUGUGAAUUGAGUUAACUGUAUCUGACGCUUGGUGUAACCAAAUAUAUAUGCUUGCAUUCA